GGCAAGAUAAAAAACGGCACGUUGUCUGGUUUGGCUAAAUUUAAUUAAAUCUUCAUGGUAGUUAAUAAAACACUUCUAAGGUCUUCAUUUUCACAAUCUUAUAAUUGUCCUAUAUGCAUGAAUAAAAUACUGCUUUAUACUUCUUUUCAUUGAUAAUUUCUCGAUUACAGUAUAAUAUAACCUGCAAGCGAUAUUCCAGUGGCGGCGUGACAUCUAGUUACAUCACGUAACAAAUAUGUACAUGGUUGGAUGCCUAACCCUUAAGCGACUGAUUACUUUGGUGCACGACAGAUAGGAUUUGGUCUUAAAAAGAGAGAGGUCAUCGAUGGAUGUUCGAAACAAUACACAUCGAUCGCCGCCACAUUCGAUAAAGACAAGAUAUCCUGAAGGAAGAUCGUUAUGAUUAAACCCGUUAGGGGAGAAGACAUCUCAAUUCAAUAUUAUCACCGUCGUCAUCGUCAACGGUUUGCUAUAGUAUCAACAGCUUAUUACUGAAGUACAAGAAACUGCUUAGGGCUUUAUUGCCAAAGCCUGUUGUAUAAUUAAAUAAUUUCCCAUUCUGAAACCAUCAGCUGCGUUUGCCCUCAAGAUUCACUCGGAAAAGAAUAUAGGUACAUUUAUUUUAUUUGUACAGUUUUCAAUAUAAGAAUUAUUUACUAA